ACACAAAUUAAACCAUAUCGGUGGCGAAUUGUAUUUUCUGGUAUAACUACUAGCCUGAAAUUAAUAUUUCUCAAUGCACCGCAAAAGUAUUGUAUUUUUGUUAGUAGUGCUAAAUAAAAUAAUAAAAAAAAAAUAGCAAAAUGUAUAAAACUUAAAACCAAAACCACAUGCAUGUGUUAAAUUUAAGAUUCAAGUGCAAAAAUAGAUGUACAUUUUCAAUGGACUAUGGAAUAUUGAAAAGUUUAAACGAGGAAAGAUGAUGUUUAAAAAAAAAACUUAUUUAAAAAAAAACAUACAAAAAAAGGAACAACAGUGAAAGAAUAUAAUAGCAAAAGAAUCAGCAAGAAAAUUAAAAAGAAAAUAUUCAUAUUUACCUUGUAAUGACCAUCGGCUGUAAGAUUGUCGUCAUCGGUUGGUACAACCGUUGCGACCCGAUAAGAGUCGGCUCUCCCAUGCUAUCAAUAUGAUAUAUCACACAAAAGUCAACAUCAUCAUCAUGAUGAUCAACAACGAGACGACGAUUAUUGUGUUGGCGGCAGCAGCGGCGUAUUGUUGGUUACGGCACAAAAUAUUAAACAAACAAAAUGCAAACGCAAACGAAGAGAACGAAUGACAGAAAUGCAAAUAAAAUAACAAAAUAUUAGACGAAGAACAAGCAAUCGGUAGCGCGCGGACGAUUGAUUGAAUGAGCAUUUUGUCAAAACAUAAUUAUUAUUGAUCACAUAACACAACGGCAAGAGGAAUUGGCGCAAAAAAUGAUGAAGGCAAAAUGCAAAUGAAAAGAAAAGAAAAAAAGGAAACAAAACAAAUGAAUUAUAACAGAAAAACAAUGUGUAAAACAAUGAGAGAAAAAAUAAGUCUAGUACAAAUAAUUACGUUUUUAUUAUACUAGAAGAUAAUGUUUAUAUUAUUAUUAUAUAAGUCAUACAGCAUUGAUGAUGAGAUAAUUCAUAGUAAUGCAUAAUAAAUUUCAUUAUUAAUAAAAAUAAAUUUAUGCACAAAAUCAA